GUUAAUGUCGCUUAAAUACAAAGCAAGGCACUGAAAAUGCCUAGACGAGUCUCCCACAACUCCAUAAACA
rnacentral:tRNA from 1 species